UACGAGGGGGGCGAGCGUUGUUCGGAAUUAUUGGGCGUAAAGGGUGCGUAGGCGGUUUGGUAAGUCUGAUGUGAAAUCUAUGGGCUCAACUCAUAGUCUGCAUCGGAAACUGCCGGGCUUGAGUGUGGGAGAGGUGAGUGGAAUUCCUGGUGUAGCGGUGAAAUGCGUAGAUAUCAGGAGGAACACCUGUGGCGAAAGCGGCUCACUGGACCAUAACUGACGCUGAUGCGCGAAAGCUAGGGGAGCAAACAGG
rnacentral:rRNA from 1 species